UGGAACAUAAGACGGUGUAAGCCACGUUGUUCUGCUGCAUAGAUUUUUGUGUGCACCAUGUUGUCAUUGGCAGUAGAAGAUUAAAUAUUUUGGCCUUGAGUUGGCCAUGAUGCAAUAAUAUCCAUACCACAUAUAUGAAGAUUGGUCAACUGUUUGGCAAGUUAAAUGGAGUAGGGACAUGCAGAGAGGAAAUGUCCCGAUUUGGCACCAAAUGAUUUUUACCUGUUCG